rnacentral:rRNA from 1 species
GAUGAACGCUGGCGGCGUGCCUAAUACAUGCAAGUCGAGCGAAUGGAUUAAGAGCUUGCUCUUAUGAAGUUAGCGGCGGACGGGUGAGUAACACGUGGGUAACCUGCCCAUAAGACUGGGAUAACUCCGGGAAACCGGGGCUAAUACCGGAUAACAUUUUGAACCGCAUGGUUCGAAAUUGAAAGGCGGCUUCGGCUGUCACUGAUGGAUGGACCCGCGUCGCAUUAGCUAGUUGGGGAGGUAACGGGUCACCAAGGCAACGAUGCGUAGCCGACCUGAGAGGGUGAUCGGCCACACGGGGACUGAGACACGGCCCAGACUCCUACGGGAGGCAGCAGUAGGGAAUCUUCCGCAAUGGACGAAAGUCUGACGGAGCAACGCCGCGUGAGUGAUGAAGGCUUUCGGGUCGUAAAACUCUGUUGUUAGGGAAGAACAAGUGCUAGUUGAAUAAGCUGGCACCUUGACGGUACCUAACCAGAAAGCCACGGCUAACUACGUGCCAGCCGCCGCAGUAA